rnacentral:rRNA from 1 species
UUCCGGUUGAUCCCGCCGGAGGCUACCGCUAUUGGAGUUCGAUUAAGCCAUGCGAGUCGAGAGUCUUAGGGACUCGGCGCACCGCUCAGUAACACGUGGGUAACCUGCCCUAUGCUGGGGAAUAACCUCGGGAAACUGAGAAUAAUGCCCCAUAGCCCACUACGCCUGGAACGGUGAGUGGGUCAAAGCUCCGGCGGCAUAGGAUGGGCCUGCGCCGUAUCAGGUUGUAGGGGGUGUAAAGUACCCUCUAGCCAUCAACGCGUACGGGUGUUGGGAGACAUUGCCCGGAGAUGGAUUCUGAGACACGAAUCCAGACCCUACGGGGUGCAGCAGGCGCGAAAACUUGGCAAUGCGAGCAAUCGUGACCAGGGAACUCCAAGUGCGUAGGGUAAGACCUACGCUUUUCUUGACUCUUCAAAGGUCUUGGAAUAAGGGGUGGGUAAGGACGGUGCCAGCCGCCGCGGUAAUACCGGCGCCUCAAGUGGUAGUCGCUUUUAUUGGGCCUAAAACGUCCGUAGCCGGUCUGGUGCAUUCGUGGGUAAAUCAACCCGCUCAACGGGUUGAAUUCUGCGAGCACGGCCAGACUUGGGACCGGGAGAGGUGUGGGGUACUCUCAGGGUAGGGGUAAAAUCCUGUCAUCCUGAGAGGACCACCUGUUGCGAAGGCGCCACACUAGAACGGAUCCGACGGUCAGGGACGAAACCUAGGGGCACGAACCGGAUUAGAUACCCGGGUAGUCCUAGGUGUAAACGCUGUGGACUUGAUGUUGGGGGCGCUCCGAGCGCUUUCAGUGUCGAAGCGAAGGUGAUAAGUCCACUGCCUGGGGAGUACGGUCGCAAGGCUGAAACUUAAAGGAAUUGGCGGGGGAGCACUGCAACCUGAGG